rnacentral:tRNA from 1 species
GCUCCUGUAACUCAGUUGGAUAGAGUAUGGGUCUUAUGCUUCGCGAGCCAGCCCAGAGUCCGGGGUUCGAGCCCCCGCAGGAGCA